UGGGGAAUUUUGGACAAUGGGCGAAAGCCUGAUCCAGCAAUGCCGCGUGUGUGAAGAAGGCCUUCGGGUUGUAAAGCACUUUUGUCCGGAAAGAAAUCCUUGGCUCUAAUACAGUCGGGGGAUGACGGUACCGGAAGAAUAAGCACCGGCUAACUACGUGCCAGCAGCCGCGGUAAUACGUAGGGUGCAAGCGUUAAUCGGAAUUACUGAGCGUAAAGCGUGCGCAGGCGGUUUGCUAAGACCGAUGUGAAAUCCCCGGGCUCAACCUGGGAACUGCAUUGGUGACUGGCAGGCUAGAGUAUGGCAGAGGGGGGUAGAAUUCCACGUGUAGCAGUGAAAAUGCGUAGAGAUGUGGAGGAAUACCGAUGGCGAAGGCAGCCCCCUGGGCCAAUACUGACGCUCAUGCACGAAAGCGUGGGGAGCAAACAGGAUUAGAUACCCUGGUAGUCCACGCCCUAAACGAUGUCAACUAGUUGUUGGGGAUUCAUUCCUUAGUAACGUAGCUAACGCGUGAAGUUGACCGCCUGGGGAGUACGGUCGCAAGAUUAAAACUCAAAUGAAUUGACGGGGU
rnacentral:rRNA from 1 species